rnacentral:rRNA from 1 species
UACGAAGGGGCUAGCGUUGCUCGGAAUCACUGGGCGUAAAGGGUGCGUAGGCGGGUUUUAAGUCAGAGGUGAAAUCCUGGAGCUCAACUCCAGAACUGCCUUUGAUACUGGGAAUCUUGAGUAUGGAAGAGGUGAGUGGAACUGCGAGUGUAGAGGUGAAAUUCGUAGAUAUUCGCAAGAACACCAGUGGCGAAGGCGGCUCACUGGUCCAUAACUGACGCUGAGGCACGAAAGCGUGGGGAGCAACAGG